rnacentral:rRNA from 1 species
GAUGAACGCUGGCGGCGUGCCUAAUACAUGCAAGUCGAGCGAACGGACGAGAAGCUUGCUUCUCUGAUGUUAGCGGCGGACGGGUGAGUAACACGUGGAUAACCUACCUAUAAGACUGGGAUAACUUCGGGAAACCGUAGCUAAUACCGGAUAAUAUUUUGAACCGCAUGGUUCAAAAGUGAAAGACGGUCUUGAUGUCACUUAUAGAUGGAUCCGCGCUGCAUUAGCUAGUUGGUAAGGUAACGGCUUACCAAGGCAACGAUGCAUAGCCGACCUGAGAGGGUGAUCGGCCACACUGGAACUGAGACACGGUCCAGACUCCUACGGGAGGCAGCAGUAGGGAAUCUUCCGCAAAGGGCGAAAGCCUGACGGAGCAACGCCGCGUGAGUGAUGAAGGUCUUCGGAUCGUAAAACUCUGUUAUUAGGGAAGAACAUAUGUGUAAGUAACUGUGCACAUCUUGACGGUACCUAAUCAGAAAGCCACGGCUAACUACGUG